ACUUGAAAAGAAUGUGUAUUCUGCUGAUUCAUGGUGGAAUAUUCUGAAUAUAUCUGUUAAAUUCAACUGUUUCAAUGUGUCCUACAAGGCCACUGUUUCCUUGCUCUCUGUUUAGAUUAUCCGUCCAUUGGUACUGAAGGCUCCUCGAAGGUGACUACCUUACCUUAAUCAUUACUACAUCACUGAGGACAAUUCUUGCAAAGAAACUUGAAAAUGGGAUGAAGAAAAUACUAAAGAUCAAAGUCAGGGCCCUGAGAUCAAGGCCUGCAUCUGGCUCCCUCCUAAAGCUCCCCUGCUCAAAAAAGUUCUUUGGAGAGAAGGAAAAUUACACACAUCAGAAACUCAGACCCACAUAAGCAAAGGAAGACUGUGGAAGAAAAGAUGAAGGCAUGCUAAUUAUUAGAAGCCAAUUUCAGUCCUUACUAAAGGUAUUUUAAGAAUAUGGGCAUCACCACCAGAUCCAGUAACUGCAAAUGUGGAAGUGCUGAAAUUGCUUGCAAGAAGAGAUGAUGAAGAGAUGGAAGACAGAAAGUGGUCAAACAACUUCACAUAAAGUACUUAUAAACAUGAAUUAUUUAUUUUUGUUCCCUCUAGUAAUCCAAACUAUAAGUGACCUCUAGAACUAGAUUCUCUACUCAGCUAUAUAUUAAAUACCAAAUUGCUAAAGGAAACUUUAAAACACUCGUUUAUAUUUUAAAAGCCUCAUAGUGAUUAAACAUUGUUUACUUGAUUUAUAUUUUAGAAUUCAAUAAAUAAG